AGAGUUUGAUCAUGGCUCAGGACGAACGCUGGCGGCGUGCCUAAUACAUGCAAGUCGAGCGAAUCUUUAGGAGCUUGCUCCUAUUGGUUAGCGGCGGACGGGUGAGUAACACGUGGGCAACCUACCUAUAAGACUGGGAUAACUUCGGGAAACCGUAGCUAAUACCGGAUAAUCCUUUUCCUCUCAUGAGGAAAAGCUGAAAGACGGUUUACGCUGUCACUUAUGGAUGGGCCCGCGGCGCAUUAGCUAGUUGGUGAGGUAACGGCUCACCAAGGCAACGAUGCGUAGCCGACCUGAGAGGGUGAUCGGCCACACUGGGACUGAGACACGGCCCAGACUCCUACGGGAGGCAGCAGUAGGGAAUCUUCCACAAUGGACGAAAGUCUGAUGGAGCAACGCCGCGUGAGCGAUGAAGGCCUUCGGGUCGUAAAGCUCUGUUGUUAGGGAAGAACAAGUACCGGAGUAACUGCCGGUACCAUGACGGUACCUAACCAGAAAGCCACGGCUAACUACGUGCCAGCAGCCGCGGUAAUACGUAGGUGGCAAGCGUUGUCCGGAAUUAUUGGGCGUAAAGCGCGCGCAGGCGGUCCUUUAAGUCUGAUGUGAAAGCCCACGGCUCAACCGUGGAGGGUCAUUGGAAACUGGGGGACUUGAGUGCAGAAGAGGAAAGCGGAAUUCCACGUGUAGCGGUGAAAUGCGUAGAGAUGUGGAGGAACACCAGUGGCGAAGGCGGCUUUCUGGACUGUAACUGACGCUGAGGCAUGAGAGCAUGGGGAGCAAACAGGAUUAGAUACCCUGGUAGU
rnacentral:rRNA from 1 species